UUCUUAUAAAUGGGGCGCUUGGCCUUACGGGGCUUGGCUGAGACGGGAGAAAUUCCGGACCCUUUGGCCUGAUCCGGAUAAUACCGGCGGAGGUAACAUACAAUCGGGUUUUU
rnacentral:ncRNA from 1 species